UACGUAGGGUGCGAGCGUUAAUCGGAAUUACUGGGCGUAAAGCGUGCGGAGGCGGUGAUGUAAGACAGUUGUGAAAUCCCCGGGCUCAACCUGGGAACUGCAUCUGUGACUGCAUCGCUGGAGUGCGGCAGAGGGGGAUGGAAUUCCGCGUGUAGCAGUGAAAUGCGUAGAUAUGCGGAGGAACACCGAUGGCGAAGGCAAUCCCCUGGGCCUGCACUGACGCUCAUGCACGAAAGCGUGGGGAGCAAACAGG
rnacentral:rRNA from 1 species